rnacentral:rRNA from 1 species
CUGGCGGCGUGCCUAAUACAUGCAAGUCGAGCGGACCGACGGGAGCUUGCUCCCUAGGUCAGCGGCGGACGGGUGAGUAACACGUGGGUAACCUGCCUGUAAGACUGGGAUAACUCCGGGAAACCGGGGGCUAAUACCGGAUGCUUGAUUGAACCGCAUGGUUCAAUUAUAAAAGGUGGCUUUUAGCUACCACUUACAGAUGGACCCGCGGCGCAUUAGCUAGUUGGUGAGGUAACGGCUCACCAAGGCGACGAUGCGUAGCCGACCUGAGAGGGUGAUCGGCCACACUGGGACUGAGACACGGCCCAGACUCCUACGGGAGGCAGCAGUAGGGAAUCUUCCGCAAUGGACGAAAGUCUGACGGAGCAACGCCGCCGUGAGUGAUGAAGGUUUUCGGAUCGUAAAACUCUGUUGUUAGGGAAGAACAAGUACCGUUCGAAUAGGGCGGUACCUUGACGGUACCUAACCAGAAAGCCACGGCUAACUACGUGCCAGCCGCUGC